UUUCAGUCAUUCUUUUAUUUGUGAACAUGGAAAUUGUACUGAACUGAUGUUAAUAUAUUUGUGCAAAAGUGCAACCAUUUUGUGUUUGUGCCUAGAUGUUAUCCUGCAAGGGAACUCGUCCAGCUUCAGACAUGAAGUACUGAGCAAACUUCUCCCUCACUGCCAAAACAUCUCUGCCAGCAUUGUUGGUGCCAAGGCGAGGUGCGUUCUGGAGACCUUGUGAUGGCUCAGCUGUGAAUGUUCCAGUAGAUGACCUAGCCGGUAUUGUAGUGCUGGCAUCCCACCUCAGAAAGUUAUGCAGCAUGCAGGUGGCCUUUACCACGUUCUCUGACACUUCUGGAGAGACACACAGCACCCGACGUGUUGUAGCCAGGGUAUGGGCGCAUGAUGUUACGGCGCAAGGGGAAGGCUUCGUCUGCCAGAAACACAUGAGGCAUCGGGCCAAGAUGUUCUGCCCCUGGGAGGAUGGAGUCAUCCGGGAUACCCAAUGUGUUCUGCCGUAGGGCAGUACCAAAAGCGGAGGAGGAGAGGGUUCCCCCAUCACUGUUUCUUCCAUAGGCCCCGAUGUCAACAAGCCUGAAACAGUACCUGGCGUCGACUACAGCCAGAA